rnacentral:rRNA from 1 species
GAGCGAACGCUGGCGGCAGGCCUAACACAUGCAAGUCGAGCGGCCGUAGCAAUACGGCAGCGGCAGACGGGAGAGUAACACGUGGGAACGCGCCCUUCGGUUCGGGAUAACUCAGGGAAACUUGAGCUAAUACCGGAUACGCCCUUACGGGGAAAGAUUUAUUGCCGAAGGAACGGCCCGCGUCCGAUUAGCUUGUUGGUGAGGUAACGGCUCACCAAGGCGACGAUCGGUAGCUGGUCUGAGAGGAUGACCAGCCUCACUGGGACUGAGACACGGCCCAGACUCCUACGGGAGGCAGCAGUGGGGAAUAUUGGACAAUGGGCGCAAGCCUGAUCCAGCCAUGCCGCGUG